ACCCGAAGUACCUAAGAUGUACGGAGUAGUGGGAUGGAGAAACUUAUCCUUUCGGAGUAACUUUCUUUUCAGACCUUGCUAUUGAAGCUUAGCUACUCCCGUCUUUUGUUACAGAUCGACGCUCGAGAGGCAGAGUCUCAAGAAACUAUAUGUCGUUCAGGCAGUUGGUAUACUUCUCCUCUGUCAUUUAUGAUGGGGUUUUGAGUCGUUGCUAGCUUGGGCAAAUAUUGGUUAUUGCCACUUUUGUGGAUGAGACAGAAGCAGCCCCGUCGACGGGUAGAAACUUUAGAUUAAGUAGAAUGCACGAUCUUGAGCUCUCUGUGUGCCUGGCAUGCAGAUUGAGUUCGGUCGUCUUAGUUGUCGUUCUACCGCAGUAUAUUCCUAGACUCUGUGUAGGUCUUAUGGGCCAGUUGUCACUUGGGUAAAACCAUACUGCAGACAUCU
rnacentral:snoRNA from 1 species